GACGAACGCUGGCGGCGUGCCUAACACAUGCAAGUCGAACGGGGUGAUUCCUUCGGGGAUCACUUAGUGGCGGACGGGUGAGUAACGCGUGAGCAACCUGCCUCUUACAGGGGGAUAACGCAUCGAAAGAUGUGCUAAUACCGCGUAAGACCACGGUACCGCAUGGUACAGGGGUCAAAGGAGCAAUCCGGUAAGAGAUGGGCUCGCGUCCGAUUAGCUAGUUGGUGAGAUAAAAGCCACCAAGGCGACGAUCGGUAGCCGACCUGAGAGGGUGAUCGGCCACGAUUGGAACUGAGAAACGGUCCAGACUCCUACGGGAGGCAGCAGUGGGGAAUAUUGGGCAAUGGGCGAAAGGCCUGACCCAGCAACGCCGCGUGAGGGAAGAAGGGUUUCGGCUC
rnacentral:rRNA from 1 species